ACGCCAAGCACACUCCCAUGAUCGCCUCCGUCCGCUCCGUCUCCUCGUCCGAGCAGAUUCGUCGCUCGCGUCCUCUAUCGGUCACCCGCGACCGUCCCCUAAGCUAGGGUUUUGGCCAUCGCGUCGCCGGCGUGGCUCCGGCGGCUCAGGUCUCUCCGUCGAUAUCCCCCGCAACCUACCCUCUCUUACUCACCUCGUAUCCUCUCUCUCCCAGAUCGAGCACGCCACCGUCGUCGUUGUUUCGCUCGCGCCGGAACAGCAAAGGGAAGGCCAUGGACGACGCUGCUCCAGCCCUACUCCGACGCCAUCAAGCAGUAGCAACAACUCGAUGCAGGGAGGAGGGAGAGGAGGAGUCCUGCUUCCCCCGCGUGCAUCUUCUCUCUCGGAACGACGCCCAACCUCAAGCGAGAGGAAGGUCUUUGAGAACCUGAAGGUUCUUUUUUUGAUUGAUAGAUGCAUGUGUGGGUGGCAGCAGAUCAACCUCCUUCUCAACCCAUGGGUAAGCCCAGCC